UCCUGGGUCCAUGCCACCCUGAACAAGCCUGAUGUCUGAUCUUGGAAACUAAGCAAGGUUGGCCUGGUUAGUACUUGGAUGGGAGUCCACCUAGGAAGACCAGGUGCUGUAGGCA
rnacentral:rRNA from 1 species